UACGUAGGGUGCAAGCGUUGUCCGGAAUUAUUGGGCGUAAAGAGCUCGUAGGCGGUUUGUCGCGUCUGCUGUGAAAACUCGGGGCUUAACUCCGGGCCUGCAGUGGGUACGGGCAGACUAGAGUGCAGAAGGGGCAACUGGAAUUCUCGGUGUAGCGGUGAAAUGCGUAGAUAUCGAGAGGAACACCUGCGGCGAAGGCGGGUUGCUGGGCUGACACUGACGCUGAUGCGCGAAAGCCAGGGGAGCGAACGGG
rnacentral:rRNA from 1 species